rnacentral:rRNA from 1 species
GAUGAACGCUGGCGGCGUGCCUAAUACAUGCAAGUCGAGCGAACAGACGAGGAGCUUGCUCCUCUGACGUUAGCGGCGGACGGGUGAGUAACACGUGGAUAACCUACCUAUAAGACUGGGAUAACUUCGGGAAACCGGAGCUAAUACCGGAUAAUAUAUUGAACCGCAUGGUUCAAUAGUGAAAGACUGUUUUGCUGUCACUUAUAGAUGGCUCCGCGCCGCAUUAGCUAGUUGGUAAGGUAACGGCUUACCAAGGCAACGAUGCGUAGCCGACCUGAGAGGGUGAUCGGCCACACUGGAACUGAGACACGGUCCAGACUCCUACGGGAGGCAGCAGUAGGGAAUCUUCCGCAAUGGGCGAAAGCCUGACGGAGCAACGCCGCGUGAGUGAUGAAGGUCUUCGGAUCGUAAAACUCUGUUAUUAGGGAAGAACAAAUGUGUAAGUAACUAUGCACGUCUUGACGGUACCUAAUCAGAAAGCCACGGCUAACUACGUG